rnacentral:rRNA from 1 species
GACGAACGCUGGCGGCGUGCCUAAUACAUGCAAGUUGAGCGCUGAAGGUUGGUACUUGUCCCGACUGGCUGAGCAGCGAACGGGUGAGUAACGCGUGGGGAAUCUGCCUUUGAGCGGGGGACAACAUUUGGAAACGAAUGCUAAUACCGCAUAAAAACUUUAAACACAAGUUUUAAGUUUGAAAGAUGCAAUUGCAUCACUCAAAGAUGAUCCCGCGUUGUAUUAGCUAGUUGGUGAGGUAAAGGCUCACCAAGGCGAUGAUACAUAGCCGACCUGAGAGGGUGAUCGGCCACAUUGGGACUGAGACACGGCCCAAACUCCUACGGGAGGCAGCAGUAGGGAAUCUUCGGCAAUGGACGAAAGUCUGACCGAGCAACGCCGCGUGAGUGAAGAAGGUUUUCGGAUCGUAAAACUCUGUUGGUAGAGAAGAACGUUGGUGAGAGUGGAAAGCUCAUCAAGUGACGGUAACUACCCAGAAAGGGACGGCUAACUACGU